UACGUAGGUGGCAAGCGUUGUCCGGAAUUAUUGGGCGUAAAGCGCGCGCAGGCGGCCUUUUAAGUCUGAUGUGAAAGCCCACGGCUCAACCGUGGAAGGUCAUUGGAAACUGAAAGGCUUGAGUACAGAAGAGGAAAGCGGAAUUCCACGUGUAGCGGUGAAAUGCGUAGAGAUGUGGAGGAACACCAGUGGCGAAGGCGGCUUCUGGUCUGCAACUGACGCUGAGACGCGAAGCGUGGGGAGCAAACAGG
rnacentral:rRNA from 1 species